rnacentral:rRNA from 1 species
CCUACGGGAGGCUGCAGUGGGGGAUAUUGCACAAUGGGGGAAACCCUGAUGCAGCGACGCCGCGUGGGUGAAGAAGCGCCUCGGCGCGUAAAGCCCUGUCAGCAGGGAAGAAAAUGACGGUACCUGAAGAAGAAGCCCCGGCUAACUACGUGCCAGCAGCCGCGGUAAUACGUAGGGGGCAAGCGUUAUCCGGAUUUACUGGGUGUAAAGGGGGCGCAGACGGCGAUGCAAGCCAGGAGUGAAAGCCCGGGGCCCAACCCCGGGACUGCUCUUGGCAAUGCGUGGCGAGAGUGCAGGAGGGGCAGGCGGAAGUCCUGGUGUAGCGGUGAAAUGCGUAGAUAUCAGGAGGAACACCGGUGGCGAAGGCGGCCUGCUGGACUGCAACUGACGUUGAGGCCCGAAAGCGUGGGGAGCAAACAGGAUUAGAUACCCUUGUAGUC